rnacentral:rRNA from 1 species
AUUGAACGCUGGCGGCAGGCCUAACACAUGCAAGUCGAACGAGUGGCGGACGGGUGAGUAAUGUCUGGGAAACUGCCCGAUGGAGGGGGAUUACUACUGGAAACGGUAUCUAAUACCGCAUACCAUCGGAUGUUCCCAGAUGGUAUUAGCUAGUAGGUGGGGUAACGGCUCACCUAGGCGACGAUCCCUAGCUGGUCUGAGAGGAUGACCAGCCACACUGGAACUGAGACACGGCCCAGACUCAUACGGGAGGGAGCAGUGGGGAAUAGUGCACAAGGGGCGCGAGACUGAUGCAGACAUGCCGCGUGUAUGAAGAAGGCCUUCGGGUUGUACAGUACUUUCAGCGAGGAGGCGUUACUCGCAGAAGAAGCACCGGCUAACUCCGUGCCAGCCGCCGCGGUAAUAC